UAGGGAAUCUUCCACAAUGGGCGGAAUAGCCUGAUGGAGCAACGCCGCGUGUGUGAUGAAGGGUUCCGGCUCGUAAACACUGUUGUAAGAGAAGAAUGACAUUGAGAGUAACUGUUCAAUGUGUGACGGUAUCUUACCAGAAAGGAACGGCUAAAUACGUGCCAG
rnacentral:rRNA from 1 species